UAUGAAGAACGUAGCGAAAUGCGAUAAUUAAUGUGAAUUGCAGAAUUCCGUGAAUCAUCGAGUCUUUGAACGCACAUUGCGCCUCAUGGCAUUCCGUGAGGCAUGCCCAUCUCAGCGUUAGAAAAUAUUCUCAAAUUUUAGUUUUGUGCUAAAAUUUGGAUCAUGUCAAGGAAGCUAUUACUAUUAUUGUGAUCGCUCUUUGGAAAUUGAUAGGUCUUUGAGUUGCUACUCAUAGAACGUGAUGAAUCUUUCUUCGUUCUAUUGUAAUUCACUCUGGUAGUCCUAAAACUUGUAUGCCUGUGGCAUAUCUUGUAAUUUGACCUGAGAUUGGGUAGGGAUACCCGCUGAACUUAAGCAUAUCAAUAAGCGGAGGA
rnacentral:misc_RNA from 1 species